rnacentral:lncRNA from 1 species
AAAAAUACUUUUCUAAUCGAUUACCAUGAUGCAGUAAUCGAUUACCAUCCUAAUAUCUUUGAAAAAAUCACAUUUUUCAUAGCUUUGCUUUAGUGGUUUCAAUGAAUAAUAUUUGAAAACAUUUUAGGUUAAGAUUGAAUGUUAGUUUUUUAAGCUUUUAAGCAAUAUAGAAUAUGAAUUAUGACAUAUUAAAGAUAAAUACUUGAUUAACCUUUAUUAUGAUCAUCAUUGCCCUUUUGUCUUCCAUUGAUCAUUUGAAGUAUUCAUUUUUUCUUCUAUUUGAUAUUGGUUGUCUUCAUCAAAACACAAUGAAUCUAGAAGAGAUAUUUUUAAUAUUGUGUGCUUGAGUUGUAAAAUAGAAAUGAAUAAAAUAAUAAAGGAAACAAAAGGCAACUUCACUAAGUAAGUAGGGUAACCCUCGCCUGGUUACUCAAUCCAACAAUGAGUUGAACCCUACUACCUGGAAAAUGUGUGUGUGUGUGUGUUUGUAUGUGUGUGUGUGUGUGUUUGUGUGUGUGUGUGUGUGUGUGUGUAUGUGUGUGUGUGUGUGUGUGUGUGUGUGUGUGUGUGUGUGUGUGUGUGUGUGUGUGUGUCUGUGUGUGUGUGUGUGU